UCAGACGAUGCGUCAUGCAUAUCAAUAAGCGGAGGAAAAGAAACUAACAAGGAUUCCCUUAGUAACGGCGAGUGAAGCGGGAAGAGCUCAAAUUUGAAAUCUUCAAGGUUUUACCUUGACGAAUUGUAGUUUAAAGAAGUGUUUUCUGUUGAAGUUUUGGUAAAAGUUCUUUGGAAUAGGACAUCAUAGAGGGUGAGAAUCCCGUAUUUGACCAUUAUUUUCAGCUGUGUGAUACACUUUCAAAGAGUCGGAUUGUUUGGGAAUGCAGUCCAAAAUGGGUGGUAAAUUUCAUCUAAAGCUAAAUAUUGGCGAGAGACCGAUAGCGAACAAGUACCGUGAGGGAAAGAUGAAAAGAACUUUGAAAAGAGAGUUAAACAGUACGUGAAAUUGUCAAAAGGGAAGCGUUUGACACCAGUGUUGUUUUCUCGAAAAUCAAUUAAAAAGAGUUAGAUUUUGUUGUGUAUUGACCUUAACAGCUUGCAUUUCAAUUUUCUUGCUUUUUUUAAUGCACUUUUCGUUUAACAAGUCAACAUCAGUUUCUUUUGUUGUAAAAAGGUCAUUGGAAGGUGGCUUUCUUUUCGGAGAAAGUGUUUAUAGCCUUUGACUCCUGCAAUCGGAGAGACUGAGGUCUGCAGCGUAGAUCCUUCGGGGUUAGAUACAUUUGUGCUAAGUUAUAGCUUCUUAUAGACAACUUGUUGACUAUGAUUAGUCUUGUAGCUUACUCGCUUAUGCUAUUUUACCUACGCUUAGGAUGUUGAUCUGUAGUGCGUGCGC
rnacentral:rRNA from 1 species